GGCAGCAUAGAGAGCUUGCUCUCUGAUGGCGAGUGGCGAACGGGUGAGUAACAUAUCGGAACGUGCCUAGUAAUGGGGAAUAACUAAUCGAAAGAUUAGCUAAUACCGCAUACGACCUACGGGUGAAAGCAGGGGAUCUUCGGACCUUGCGUUAUUAGAGCGGCCGAUAUCUGAUUAGCUAGUUGGUAGUGUAAUGGACUACCAAGGCAACGAUCAGUAACUGGUCUGAGAGGACGAUCAGUCACACUGGAACUGAGACACGGUCCAGACUCC
rnacentral:rRNA from 1 species